UUUCUCUAAUAAUGAGUGAUACUAAAAUUGGAACGAUACAGAGAAGAUUAGCAUGGCCCCUGC
ensembl:snRNA U6 U6 spliceosomal RNA